ensembl:lncRNA
UUUUUUUUUUUUUUUUUUUUUUGUGGAGCUCCUUAGUAUGUUGAUUUCAAAUGAAGAAGAGGAACUCAGACUUCUAUUGGCUAUAAUUUGUGAGAUACAUUUAGAAUUAAAUAAAAACAACAAAAAAAAUCAACCCAAGAAAACCAAGAAAGCAAACAAGAAAUAAAUAUGAAAACCUCAAGCCAUAUUUCAUCCUAAACUCAGAGUCUAAACCCUUUAAAGUAUGGGGAGAUGAUACAACUCCCUCAGCAGAAUUCCGGGCUGGGCCACAGAACCCACGGCUCCGUGCCAUCAAACCUAAUCUUUGUUUGAGAUCUGACACAUUCUCUCCAAGUUUUCAGUCACAUUGCAAAUUUCUGAGAGGAUGAAAGGCAGAUUCUCCUCCUCUCUUACAUUAACCCCAGGGCCUAGAAACAGCAGGACUUGAUUUAACCAAACACACACUGGGCCAGAAAAAUGAUGAGUGAUUCUGGGACUUGACUGACACCAAGGAGACUUCAUCUGAUUCAUGGUUUUCCAACGUGAUCAUUGCACCACCUCAGACCCCUGAGCAGCUUGUGCUGAAAUGAGGAGAUAACCAGAAUGCCAAAAAGCAUCUCCUCACUGGCCAAACUGACAGCAAAGUCAGCAGAAUCUCCUCCUCCCUGGGGAAUUGCGCUCACCAGACAGGCAGCAAACUUCCCAGCCCCAAACAGGCAACAUCUUCCAGGAGCCAAGGCCCUGGUGUCCUCUUUGCAAGAUACCACCAACAAAAAGGCCUCCAGACCUUCCUUCUUACUCAACUCAACUCCUCUCCACUGCAUCUCUCGUCCAAAAAAUUUACUGUACUACAUAAAGCCUGGACCAAGCUAAAUCUGCUGGCUCCCAAACAGGCUUCUUAAGCCUCUAGCAAAUCAAGAGUAGGAUAUUUGUUUCUAAAUCUCCAAAGGAGGAUUAGGCAGGGUGACCAUAAUCCUAACCAGCCUCACACCUGCCACUCAUUCUUAGGGAAGGAGAGGUGCAUUUUAAUAUCUGGAAGUUGCUAACAGAUGAAUCUCUUUGUCCAAGGCAGGAAAUCAAAGAUUACUGUUCCUAGUUCCUUUUUUUCUUGGCUGCAUGGGAAAAUAAGGUGAUUUUUCUUUUUCUGUGAGACAAAGAGUGAAUAUGAUUGUUUGUUUUGGUUCUAGUGACAUCAUUCUUUUUUGUCAGCACCAUCUCUCAGCAAUUGACUCUGAUCUGAAGAAGGACUAUAGCAGUUAACAGUUUUCUGAAACUUUAUCCCAUCAUCUCCCUCUAUUUCAGCGCCCUAAACAAAAAAUAAGGUCAGUGAGAAACUUUUUCAUAUAUGUUGUCCAACCCUUGAUCAAAACCCCUACAUUUUCCAUGAUGUUUACAUGUAAGUCCCACUGCAAUGACAUCAGAGCUUCCCAAUACCCAUUUUAGCACCAAUUAAAGUGGCAAUGCUCAGAGAACCAUUUAUCUUUAUACUGUAGGAGUUUGACUAGUGCUGUUGUUACUUUUGAGGGGGAAUUGUGCAGGCUCCUUGUCAAUUGGUUUAGGUUGCCUAAAUGAAGCCAAAUUGCUUUUGCCGUCCCCAGCUGCUGCUGCUGCCUGUGUGUUCCACCUUCCCCAUAUCCACUUUAAUCCAUCAGCCAUGAGCAAAACAACCUUCCCUCGGUGCACCUCCUGCAAACAGGGUAGGAAAACACCACAAAAGGGGAAAAAAACACACAUCACUUGCAGCAUUUUUACAUGUAAUAGUAACAGUCUCUUGGUGCCAUCAUCAGCCAUGGCAUUUCAUUCACACAGAACACUUGUGGGCACAUCACAUAUGCUUUUCCAUUCAAUGUAUUUUUAAAUGUUUCCCAGGCAACUGUUUCAAUACAAUAUGCCUCCUUGGCAACCUGGUACCCGCAAAUGCCAUGCUAGUCUCCCUAGUCCUCUUUUUAGGUCUUCCCAUCUUGGCAUAUAAAUGUCACAACGCUGGGUUUUCCAUCUCCAGCCACACAGGUGCUGAUCUGUCCUUGCAUUUGGAAAGGCUGAAUUGAAGAGAUGAGUCGUGUACUGGGUGCUGCACGUUGGCAAAUUCAGCUUUGGUGUGCUACCAGAGGGAGCAGGUUUCAAAGGCAGUGACUUUUUGUGGGAAAGAGAAUGUCUCCUGCAACUAAAAUUAAGGAGAGCCCACAAAACUGUCUCCACUGAACUGACUUUCUCUGGAAGCAGCAAUGAGCCUGCACUUCUCAAACUGAAAUGCACGUCAUCUUUAUUUUCCUGACUAAGCCAGUCUUACCCAGUUCUCCUCAUUUUGUGGUUUAAUUGUAACACAUCACAUGAAUGCAAAGAGUCAGACCUUCCCAUUUCACCACAGGCAGUGACUAACACUGGACUGAGUGGGUCAGUUUGCUGGGUUGCUCUUUCCAGGGCUACAUUUGCUGCCACUGGGCUGUUCAGGGGACAUGUUGUGACAUUAGAGUGGAGCAUUUCAGCUGUGGGACAUUUGCUGCAGCAGCUCUCCCUGCUGCUCUGCACAUUGUGGUCUCUUUGGGGACAUUGCCCUUUAUUACAUUUAGCAGAAUGGCCACGCUCAUCCUUGAGUGAAGUCACAGACUAUUUGACAAGGACAAAUCUUAUCAACAUGUACUCCUAAGCUAAGCAUUGAUUAGAUAAAAUAAUUAAAAUAUAAUAAUAUUUCAAUGGUCUAGCAAGGAACAAUUUCUUCUGAACAUUUUUAUCUGAUACUGGAGCUAUCACUACAGAAGAAAUGAUAUUUCAGAAGGUCUAAAACUAUCAGCGAGCAUCAGUCGUCAUAAAAAAAGAAGUUUCAAUAAAAACUGUAUGUGCUUCAGCCUCAAAGUGGCACAUUAAAAAAAAAUAAUAGCUCCUGCAUGCAAUGACAUCAGACUCUGAGAGAAACCCAGCAGAAACUGUGGCAUCUCUUCUCCAUUGAUUACUCCAUAACAACAGCUGAAAAUUACAAUUUUUCCAGGCUAUAAAAUGCCUAGCACUCCAAAUUCUACACCGGCAGCAAAAAUCUCCUCCCUGUCUGUGAGCUGCUGUAUCUGUAAUAGAGACCCUGCAUUACCAAGCUUUCUAAUUCUUCCCAAAUGCAGAAGCUCUCAUUCAAUGCUGCAGCUGUUGGGGAGGAAAUCAGAAAUAGCAGAAGGCGGAUUAGUUGAUAAUGUACCAGUUCUUCCCCAGCAAAUGCUGGCACCUGCGUUUUACACUCUCCUCUUUCCCUCAGCCCAGGAAAAGAUCACUUGGUUUGUUUGGCAGGCAAUUUAUAGGCUUUAGUGAUUGUGGAACUGCAAAAGGAUUAGAAUUUGUUAUAAUAGCCCCUUCUUCCUGAGAGCAAAAGUUAAAACUGAGGCCCACUUUACAGCAAGAAUCAGGGACCAUGUAAGUAAAGAUUAAGCGUGUGCAGCUUGAUGAGACUCAACAGGGAAGAGAUAACUACACAUGCUGGCACUCCAUUUACAAGGAAAUCCCUGCAGAUAAUCUGUAGGAGCAUUCUGGCUUCCACAAGCUCAAAUCCCUUGACCACUGGCUCAAAUCCAGUCAAGGCUGAUUAUGAUAAAGACUAUUCUCUGCAUUUCUAGGAGAACUUUUUUCCUAACACCACUAAACAUUCUAAUUAUUAAAUUAGCUAGACCCAAAAUCAAGCAAAAAGUAAUAGGAUUUUCAGGCAGUGGAGGAAACAGAAGAUAAGGUUCGUGCAAAGGGGCAAGCCCAAGAACAGGUCCUAUUCUACUUUGCCUUCCUAUUCUUAGUACAUUAUUCAUUCCAGAAAGAUGCAGAUGAAAAAUACUAAAUGCCCUUAAUGGACAAAGAUUUCUAGUUUGAAAUCUGCAGGUAGUUAGAGAAGCAGAGCAAGGAUGAAAACAUUCAUGGCAUGGUUAGAGUGGGUAUCAUUAAACACAUAGCAAUCAAAAAAACCUUAGAAUUUUCAGUUAAAUCUACAAAAUCCAAACCCACCUACAAUCUACAGUUGCUAAAGAAGCAAGGUUUUCUCCUUUUGCUUUUUACAAGCAGAAGUGGCAAUAAUAAUUUUCCCUAUUCUUUUUUUUAUAUUCUUUCAUUUGUGGCCCUUACUGCACAAUAACCAAUUUUUAUGUUCCCCCAUAAUAAAGCUUUUGCAAAUGCUGUAAGUGCUCACAGCACCACACAGCAACACCUCCAGCAUGAAGAACAGGCUGCACUCCUGAUGGCUGCUCUGGGAGAAGUCAUAUCUAACAACAUAAAUCCAUGGGUACAGCACACGAUUUAGCAGCAUAAGGUUGUCCAAGGAGUAUCCAAGGAGUCAUAAAACAUAAAACACUAACCCAAACACCACGGGAAUAAAAGAAAUCUUGUGGCAUCACUGAUCGUUAGCAUAGAUACACCCAGGAGUGUGUUUGGAGUGCUCUCACAGCCCCCCGGGUUUUGUUAAAUCCCUGGUUUUGCAUAGUUUGCUGCCUCCAUGUGGUGACAGUCAGCGCUGGGCCACAAUUCCCAGUGAUCCUGAGUGAAAUCCCCCAAGGAACACUUCUUCAGCUGGUUGUAAAAUCAGAUUUCUACCCCUCCUCAUUUCAUUUCCCACCACUUCCACGGCCAAACCCCUCUUCAAUUCACACUUUUGCUUUAUUUAUACCCCCUUUCUCCUGCUGUUCUUUGUCUCUGCUGUCACCACACCUUCCUCUCUAAACCCUUCAGAUCCAAAUUCACCCUUUCCCUCUGUUCCACUUACCUUGUUCCACCUGCAGCUUUUGGGGGAACACCUUUCCCGACAAAGAAGGAAAGGAGAACCGAUUUCCUGGGGUUUCCUUUCACCACACUGAGAAGCAGCUUCUAAAUGGCAACAAAAAUGACAGAACCCUGUGACUGUACCUUGGGUGUUCCCUGGGCACUGCAGUAGCUGUAACAGAUAUUAAUGUGGGAAAAGGUUAGUUUGUGCGACAGGGGUUGACUUUUCCAGUAUUUUCUUUCUUCCCGGAUUUCAUUCUCGUUUUACUCUGCCCAUCACACAGCUUAAAUGCUGGUCUUCUAGUAGGACAUUUUUUACAAUUAUUUUUGUUUUUCAGCUAUCUAUUUUAUAAACCCACACAGAUCCCAGGAG